rnacentral:rRNA from 1 species
GACGGAAGGUGCAAGCGUUGCUCGGAAUCACUGGGCGUAAAGUGUGCGCAGGCGGCCGAGCAAGUCGAGUGUGAAAGCCCCGAGCUUAACUUGGGAACUGCGCUCGAAACUACUUGGCUAGAGUGUGGCAGAGGGAGGUGGAAUUCCACGUGUAGCGGUGAAAUGCGUAGAGAUGUGGAGGAACACCGAUGGCGAAGGCAGCCUCCUGGGCCAACACUGACGCUCAUGCACGAAAGCGUGGGGAGCAAACAGG